GUUCCCUCUCCUGGGCCCAGAUUCACGGUUGCUGCAGGAGGUGGGGCAGCGGUGGAUCCCCCCAGCCAGGACUCGAUGAUUCGACCAGAUUAACAGUCUCAAUCUGGGAACUCAUUCGAUGAUGUCCAUCUGGCUGACCUUGUUACAAUCAGCACAUCCGUCCCCCUCUGAGUCCACAGACACAGGCUGUUGGUACACCUUUGCCUUUGCUACACCUGUUACUACUUCAUCUCCAGGAGGUGCAAGAGACCAAUCAGUCGGGUUCAUGGUGGAACUUUCGUUUUGAAUGCUGAAACAACUGUUCAAGUUCAUGAAAAGGUCAGAUGUCAUUUUCCAGCAUUGGCUGACCAAGUGGAAGGCAAUGUGCUAUUUUUAUACCAAAGGGAGACAAUGCCAUGAAAUAUAUCCCAUCACCAAGGCUGAUGAUAUUCCUGAAUUGCAAGAGUAUGUCCCAAACAAAACAAGAGCAAGAAUCUUAAACAAACACCCAUCCCACUGGAUAAAGAGGAUCUGUGACAUUGUCUCAGGCUUUUCAACAUCAUUCCCUGUGCAGAAAGGACAGCUGCACAACAUUUGCUGAAGAAGGAUGUCCCUCAUGUGUUUAAAAAUAUGUUGCUGGAAAAGCGCAGCAGGUCAGGCAGCAUCAAAGGAACAGGAGAAUCGACGUUUCAGGCAUAAGCCCUUCUGUCAUAAGUCCCUCGUGUGGGCAAGACAACCACCAAAUGUCAUCAAAACUCUCAAGCAACCUUUGUCAAUUCACUGUUGCCUGCUGCAAUACUAUGAAUCCAGGACAGAAAUGUUUCUCUAAGUAUACAUGUCAUGCAACAUCCUAAUGGCCUUUUUUUUUUGUAAGAUGAAAAUCCUUACUGCCUUCGCUUUGAAAAUGGUCAUCUGCUCAAGCUAACUAUUCCAGAAUGUUAAAUAUAUUAACUAGUUACCUGAUGAAGGAGCAGUUGGACUAUAACCUGGUGUUGUGUGAUUUU